GACUGUGAAGGAAACCCCGAUCAAUGGCGGCCUUAUUUUGAGGGUCCUAAGGUAGCGGAAUACCCUGGCCGUUAAAUGCGGUCUUGCAUGAAUGAUUUAACGAUACAACAGCUGUCUCAAUGAUUGGCUCAGUGAAAUUGGAAUAACUGUGCAGAUACAGUUUACCUCUAGUUAGACGAGAAGACCCUAUGCAGCUUUACUGUUGCUAGUUAUUGGAUAUGAUUGAAUUAAUUUUAGUAGUAUAAGGUAAUUGGUUAGAUAUAAUUGAAAUACCUUUAUUGUGUUUGUCAUAUUGAUAGAUUUAAUCUAUUUUCUUAUCUAAAGAUAGGAAAUGACCCCUACUAUGUUAGGGGAACAAUGGCUAGGAGGCAGUUUAUGCGGGGCACAGAUCCCAUAAAAAGUACCUGGGUGUAUCCAAAGUUAAUUUUGUAAAAUUGACAUGACUUACUUCUAAAUUUAUAAUUUGGAAAUAAGUUUUCAUGACUAAUAAUACAUUAUAUAUUUAAUGUAUUUAUUUUUAGUUUGUUAUUUGGUAUAGCUUAUGCUAUAACUAAUCCAGCUAUUUAUCUAUUAAGUUAGAAAUAUUUUUUUAUCCAAGUAAGAUUUUAUCUAUAUGGAAAAUAGAUGUAAUUAAAACAUUGACGUAGAUAUCUUUCCAAUGUUUUUUAAUUUUUUUAUUAGGUGUAUUUGGUGAAACCAAACUACAAAUUGCUAAUAAGACAAUUAUGUUUAUUACUUGUCAAGUUUAAUGGCUUAAUCUUGCUUUACUGUUUGACUUACACGUCUAUCAGUCGCGUAAGCGGGGCAUAUGAUCACAAGAUGCAGAAAGGAAAGGUCUUGGAUUUAUGAAAAAGCUACGCUAGGGAUGUUAGUCCUCCAAUGUUUAAGUCUACUAAUAUUUAUUAUUGGGUUAAUUAGACUUAAACUC
rnacentral:ncRNA from 1 species